UGUAGCCAUAACAUUUCUGUUAUCUGGUAUCAGCAAUGUUCAUGAACUAAGUUCAUUCCCUUUAGCCAGGUACUCUUAAACUCCAGAACUCCUCAGAGUCACUCAAAAGGUUCUGUUUGUGAGAACUGUAUCCAAGCUUUUCUUCCCAGCUCCCUCCUGCAUGUUCCCUGAAAAGCAAGAAUUCUUCUAUAUCAAAUCUUUCUAAGCUCCGUUCCCCUUGCCCACCAAAGGAUGUAAAUGCCUGCAAGCAUCUGAAAGGCUGAGUUUGUGAAUCACAGCACGCUGUGGUCAGCUGUGAGCUGGGCAAGGUGGGACUCACGUGGCUCUCACAGAUGGAAGCGACCUCUGGGCCAGCCCUUGCUGUCCACUCCAAUGUAACUGAGCUAAACAGGCUCAGCAGCUCUAGAUUCUGUGUCCAGCUCUGAUUUUUGGGGUAGAAAUCAGAUGACAUGCAGCUUAAAGCUUGAGUUUGUGUUUAAUUAGGGGAUUAUCUCAAAUCUGAAAUGGAGCUGCUUUGAAGCGUGUGAACCAAAGCUAGAUAAAGACUCCCACAAACCCCUGCACACUGGAAAUUUAUAGGGUUCGCCCUGUAUUUAUUUGCCGUGGCUCAGUUGGAGGUGAAAGGUAGAGCUCAGCUGCCACAGCUGGACUUUUUUUUUCUGGUGCACGUUUCUUUCUGCAGGCUGCUCUAAUUUGUUUGUUGAGCUGAUCAUCUGGAAUCAGAUUGGCCGGAGCUGGAAUCGCUCCGCUCCCUUAGCAAACACACGAGGUCUGCAGAGGUGUCUGCCUGCAUGGAACGAACCGAGCUGACUGGCACUUUAGCAUUCCCCUGUGUACGAGCGUCUUAGGAGAUAAAGAGGAUAAUAACCGUACCAGCUUCACCAGCCCGUGGAGAGAACAGCUGAAGAGAGCAUGUGAAAUUGCUGUGAUGAAUAGCAGAAGAGGGGAAGGCUUCUGGCAGUGAGGGAGAUCUAAGCAGCACAUCAGGCCAGGAAGCAAACUGAGAGAAAACUUUUUUGGCCAGGAUUGAAUUAGGAGUGGUGGAUGGUGUUAAAGAACUGAAAGCCAACAGGUUCUCUGUGCAAAAGAAAACCAAAGAAAAAUGAAUGCAUCAAAAUAUGUGACUUAAAUCUUGUCUAAAUUAAAGAAGAAACACUAAAGUGCUG
rnacentral:lncRNA from 1 species